CCAAACACGCACAAACUCAACCAUUCACGAAAAAACCUAAGUUUGCUAAGACUCACUGCUGCUCGUUGCUAAGCCUCGCCCUCGCUCCUGCUCGUGACUCGCCGCCGCUCGUGCUUCUCUCAAAACCUAAGUUUGCUAACACUUGGAGGAAGAAGAUGGAAGUCGCUUAAUUUGGUGGGGUUUUGCGAUUCAUACAAGUAUUACUAUGAGCCAGGCACUGGAAGGCAGUUUCGCUCUCUGAUAGGUGUUCAGAGACAUCUAACAGAAGACAAUGGAAGUUCGUGCCUUUAGUUGGCAAAGAUUGGACACAGCCAGAGUGGCAAGGCUUUCUCGCUAAUAAGAGCAAGAACCCUCGUCUGCCGCUUUGCCUCAGAUUUACACCUUCUUCUUCAUGAAUUCAGCGAACUCUUCCACCCACUCCAGCUCUGGCGAACUCUUCCAGCCACUGCAGAACUCUUCCAUCUUGCUUAGAUUGGUGGAGGGAUGAUUGAAUGGAUUCAUAUGAGGCACUUUUUAUGCUGAAUUGCGUGGCUCAGAAUUUCAAGUGGUAGUGAAUCUAUUUUUGUUGUAUUGGUGGUGGAUCAUCGCGCAAACAAGGAGACCCGUAUUCUUUGACAGCAAGGCAUAUGGUAGCUUUUUGUUAUCUGGAAAGUAGGUCUUGGAGGCUUGGUAAAAUUUCGACAGUUUCUUGCCUUUGGAUUAGUAGCUUUAGAGUUCUUACUAUCUUAUUGCUUUAGUAGUUUGAUGUGCAAAACUGCAAGUGUACAGUUUCGCCCGGGGUUUUAAUUUAUCGAACCUCAAGGAUUGUGAUAGUUUACUUCCUAAUGUUACCAAAUUCUCGCUGUAAGGACGAAAAGCGAAAUUAAAAGAGGGUUUAGUUGGUUGAUAGAACGAAGUAACAAGAAAACGUGGAAAAGAUAAUUACUGAUUUGAAAUCACUUAGAGAAAAGCGCACCGGGGAAUUGAUUUCGUUUACCCUUGCUAUGUUUCUACCCGCUACAAUUAUAUAUGAAAUUAGUUAAAUCUGUUCGUGGUGCUGAGCCUAUAUGUUUACUUGCUAAUCCCUUAGUCAAGCACCCCUUCUAGUUAAUUAGUGAUAGCUAAUUCCUUAGUACCUAAUCCUAAUUAACUAGAGAUUCAAUUUCAUGUUCAGGCAAACACAAAUAAAUUGCUACCCUUAUCCCUAAGGCGUAGAGAUCCUUAUUCAAUUUCUUCCUAGA